rnacentral:misc_RNA from 1 species
GUGCGGAUCGAUAUUGCAGUAAAGAAGCUGGAGAAAGAAAUAGAGAAAAGUGAAGAGGAAUUCAUGACAGAACUCAAGAUAAUAGGCCGGACAUACCACAAGAAUUUGGUAAGACUAUUGGGCUAUUGUGUAGAGAACAAUCAAUGGCUUCUAGUCUAUGAGUUAAUGGCCAAUGGCACACUAUCUGAUCUUCUGUUUGAGGAAGGAGAAAGGCCAAGCUGGGUUCUGAGGGCAGAAAUGGCUCUUGGAAUAUCAAGAGGCUUGCUUUACUUGCAUGAAGAGUGCGAGACCCAGAUAAUCCAUUGUGACGUAAAGCCUCAAAAUGUUCUGCUUGAUGCCAAUUACAAUGCCAAGAUUGCAGAUUUUGGUCUGUCCAAGCUAUUGAACAAAGAUCAAACCAGAACAGACACAAAUGUAAGAGGGACAAUGGGAUAUUUGGCACCUGAGUGGCUGAGGAAUGCACCAGUGACAUCUAAAGUGGAUGUUUACGGUUUUGGAGUAAUGUUACUUGAAAUUUUAUGCUGCAGAAGGCACAUUGAGUUAAAUCGGGUGGAAGAAGAGAGCGAAGAGGAUGAUCUUGUUCUCUCGGAUUGGGUUGUAAGUUGUAUGAUGAAAGGGAGGCUAGAGAUGGUAGUAAGGCAUGAUCCUGAAGUAUUGAGUGAUUUUAAGAGGUUUGAGAGAAUGGCAAUGGUGGGAAUAUGGUGCAUUCAUCCAGAUCCAGUUCUUAGGCCUUCUAUGAAGAAAGUCACACAGAUGCUGGAAGGAACUUCGGAGGUUGGAAUUCCUCCUCUGCUUCAUGAUCAAAUGUCCUAGUUUGGUCGUAAGACUCAUUAUAAAUAAAUUAAUAUUAGGGGAAUUUAUCGAUUAAUGUAAUUUAUUUAUAGUAAUUGUAAAGUCAGAAAACUUCCUCAACAUAUGAUUUUUAUUUUU